ensembl:lncRNA
AUUUGCCCACUGGAACCUCUUCCCCAGACAACAUGUGGUUAGAACUUGCCUUUGCUCAGGAAAUAGCUACUCUAGUGAUAAUGGGCUUCCAUAAAGUUGUUCAACAAACGUCGGGAGAUGGCCAGGAUAUGGAUUACAUCCAACUAGUUUCUAUUUGGGUUGUCAACUGUCAAACCUGAGACUAGUGUGUUGCAGGGAACGAAGAAAAAUUCAAAGGGGGCAUGAGGAUACAGUUUUGCAGGAAGAAGAGCAGAGGAAGGCCCCAGAGUUUUCCAAGCUGGAGUUUUGAAGCUGAAAGAUAAGGAUGUUUGUGCCCAGCGUGAAAUAGCAGGAAUCCUCUCAAUGUGAGGUAAAAGGCUCAUUUUCAGCUCAGAUUGCUCUGGCUCCAAACGCUGUUACUCCCCGCGUCUCAUCUCUCCAUCCAUAUGCCUCUUUCUCCAUCUCUUUCUCUACCUCUCUCUCCCCCUCCUUAUCCCUCGCCUCUUCUGCCCUUUGAUAAUUGCACAGAGCCCCCAUGCAACAGCAGGCAAGACUUUUAUUAGGUGUGGCACGGUGUCAGGGAAUGGCCACAGCCUCCGAACAGGGAUGGACAGAGUACUGGCACUCAGUGGAAUACUCACCAAAAACCAACACGCACUGCAGACACCAAACAAAAACUCCCUUGCUUUCCUUAAGUAAUGAAACUCUUUGGUUGAAACGGGAAAUCCCCCUGCUUCCACCCAGCGGGCCUCACUGCAGCGUAGACCGGCAUUAAUCUCAUUAUGACUCUGACUGUGAGUGGGAUUGGAUUGGAAGGGAGCCGGAGCUCUGAAUAAACAGUGGGAUGCGAGAGGCUGUCCACCUGAUGAUGCCACUCCUCCUUCUCCACUAGAGCCUCAGGCUGCCUGGCUGGCCCACUGUUGGACUGCAAUGAAUGAGCGGUUUCAGAGGAAGAUUGGAUUUGAGAUUUGUGUGCACGACCACUGUUGGAAAAGGGCUGUCUGCGUAUGUAUCUGUGGGAGAGUGUGAAGACUUUGUAGGACAGAUUGCCCAAAUGUUUGGCCACGUCUAUCAGCGCUCCUGAGACUAGCUGUGGAGCCGGCAGUGUCCACUGGGCUCUGUAAGAACAUUAGUGCUGCUGUGGGGUCGGGUUCAGAACCAACAGAGAAGAGAGAGACAGUCACAGGAGGGAGAUCACUUACCUGUUCACUGUGGCCUGGUAGGUCUGCAGAGGAAUGAAAAAAACAGUGGCAGCUAUCCUGGCCGCCUCUUCAUCUCGUAGGAACUGGUGAAGCUUCUCACCGCUUUCUUAAUCUGCUUCUCUGUGUGCUGGGCCUGGGUCUGGAGACACAAUCUAAUUACAUCUCUGAAAAUAUGACCUCUCUCAUUUUAACUUUCAACAUCCUGUAAAAUGUCAACAUCACCUCCGAUACCACUCCAGAGAGAUGGAGGAUAACGUUUUUUUUUGUAUUGCCCAGAAUGAGAGGAGAAUGGAGAGAAAAAGGACUGGAAUAUGUCUGGAGAAGCAGUAAGGAGAACCCUCACUUGGUAUUUAGGCCAUGUUGGUGCAACAGUUGAAGAUGGAUGGAAGAUGUUUUUUUUUUGGUCCCAUCAUCCUCAUCAUCAUUUGCACCAUCUGCUACACCAUCUUAGUUAACCUGCUAAGGCUAAAGAAGAGAGCAAGAGUGUGGAGGCGUGCUACACUGCUCCCUGCCAAUGACCUUUUUGAUGUUGAAUGUUGCUAAGAGACAGAACUGAAAGGGAAAGUUGACCGAGAUUGAAAAGUGUCUUGUUACUUGAAGUUGACCUUUGCUUAUUGUCUAAGUUUGGGGGGGGGGGGUUCUGUUUAGAACCACAGUUCACUGUUUUAAAAUGUGUGAAGUCAAUGGAUGUUUGGUUUGUGUCAUAUCCACAUUCAAUUACUUUAAAUUUAGUGGAGACAAUGGAGUGUGGUUAGUGUUAUAUUCACAAUCAAUCACUUCGAAAAUAGUCAUGAGUUUGGCUUGCACCGAAGGGUUUUUCCAUAAGAGGCGGCCCAAUCAGAUUAGAAAAGGGGAUAAGGGGCCUCCCGGGUGGCGCAGUGGUUAAGGGCGCUGUACUGCAGCACCAGCUGUGCCACCAGAGACUCUGGGUUUGCGCCCAGGCCCUGUCGUAACCGGCCUCGACCGGGAGGUCCAUGGGGCGACGCACAAUUGGCCUAGCGUCGUCCGGGUUAGGGAGGGUUUGGCUGGUAGGGAUAUCCUUGUCUCAUCGCGCACCAGCGACUCCUGUGGCGGGCCGGGCGCAGUGCACACUAACCAAGGUUGCCAGGUGCACGGUGUUUCCUCCGACACAUUGGUGAGGCUGGUUUCCGGGUUGGAUGCGCGCUGUGUUAAGAAGCAGUGCGGCUUGGUUGGGUUGUGUAUCGGAGGACGCAUGACUUUCAACCUUCGUCUCUCCCGAGCUCGUACGGGAGUUUUAGCGAUGAGACAAGAUAAUAGCUACUAACAAUUGGAUACCACGAAAAGGGGGUAAAAAAAUGUUUUUUAAAGAGAAGGGGAUAGGAUAACAGAGAGCAUUCUUCCUCUUCUUUUGGAUAAUGAAGAUCUGCUAGACUUGUGAGCAGUAGAGCCUGGUGGGAGGAGCUAUAGGAGGACAAGCUCAUUGUAAUGGCUGGAAUGGCAUAAAAGGAAUGAAGUCAAAUGUGGUUUCCACUUUUGAUGAUACCAUUCCAUUUAUUCCGUUCCAACCAUUACAAAUUAGCCUGUCUUAUUAUAGCUCCUCCCACCAGCCUCUACUGCUUGUGAGUAUUCUUAGGGAGUUUUACUUAAAAGCUACAGAUCUAGUUAUGCAUGUCUGUCUUUACUAAAGGUGUUUCAUGCCAAUACUGUGUGUUGGUGAACUGCCGUUAGCACAAGAUUAAUUGUGCUAUUAACAGAUUACUAGAAGGAAACACUGUAUUUUAUAUUGUACUCAUGAUUGACUAUUGACUGAAAGGAUGUAUUUGUAUUACUUUGAUAGUUACAAAUAAAGUAUUAUGUGUUAGAAGGAAAAGCUUAAUGCCUUCUAUGCUCGCUUCGAGGCAAACAACACUGAACCAUGCAUGAGCGCACCAGCUGUUCCAGAUGACUGUGUGAUCACGCUCUCCGUAGCCGAUGUGAGUAAGACCUUUAAACAGAUCAACAUUCACAAGGCCACAGGGCCAGGCGGAUUACCAGGAUCCAUACACAGAGCAUACCCUGACCAACUAUCAAGUGUCUUCACUGACAUUUUCAACCUCUCCCUGAACAAGUCUGUAAUAUCUAAUGUGUUUCAAGCAGACCACCAUAGUCGCUGUACCCAAGAAUGCCAAGGUAACCUGCCUAAAUGACGACAGCCUCAUAGCACUCACGUCUGUAGCCAUGAAGUGUUUGAAUGACUGGACAUGGCUCACAUCAACACCUUAAUCCCAGAAACCCUAGACCCACUGCAAUUUGCAUACAGAACCAUAGAUGACGCAAUCUCUCUUGCACUCCACACUGCCCUUUCCCACCUGGACAAAAGAAACACCUGCGUGAGAAUGCUGUUUGCUGACUACACCUCAGCAUUCAACACCAUAGUUGUGUUUUAUUG